rnacentral:rRNA from 1 species
UUUUUCCUACGGGGCGCAGCAGUGAGGAAUAUUGGUCAAUGGGCGCGAGCCUGAACCAGCCAAGUCGCGUGAGGGAAGACGGUCCUAUGGAUUGUAAACCUCUUUUGUCGGGGAGCAAAAGACGCCACGUGUGGCGUUCCGAGAGUACCCGAAGAAAAAGCAUCGGCUAACUCCGUGCCAGCAGCCGCGGUAAUACGGAGGAUGCGAGCGUUAUCCGGAUUUAUUGGGUUUAAAGGGUGCGUAGGCGGGAUGCCAAGUCAGCGGUCAAAUACGGGGGCUCAACCUGCGUCCGCCGUUGAAACUGG